ACAGGCUGGACGCUUGGCUGAUGGUCACCUCUGUUCCCUUUGUCCCUAAAUAAGAACGUCCGCCUCUCAGCACUGGGCUCUGUCUCCCUCAGUGAUGUCCUGAAUGUCUCUCCUUACCACUUCUAUGCUGGGGGCGCUGAAUCUUCAUCUCUGACUCUAAUCCCACCCGAGUCUGCAUGGAGAAUACACGGUGACUGGCUCAGAGCAGAAGCUCUUUGUUGAAAAACUGCAGAAGAUGUGUUUUGGAUUUGACUUGGGAGUUAGGGUCUGGUUGUUCCAGGACCCAAGGAUCCUGCCUUCCAAACACACUAAGGGAGGAUGCAGAGAUGGGAGGACCCAGAAACAUAUGGACCAUGCUUUUUGGUACACGUGGGACUCACAACAUGGAUGUCUCGGAAUUCCUGUGGCCACAACCGGUCGCUGGUUCUCCCGACAUAGCUUCUCCCUGCUUCUGGGUCUGAGCCGAGGUCUUCAAGAGCCCUGCUGACACCUCGGGUUCUCCUGGCCCACAUUCAGCAGGUCAGCAAGUCCUGUUGCUUCUACCCCUAAGCUCUGUCCAGUGCCCUGCUGCUCUGUGUGCCCUGCAUCACCGCCACCCUCAGGCUAAGCCCCAUCUCCUCUUGCUUGGAGCCCAACCAGGGCCUCCUCGCCACCUCCCCGCUCGGCCCCUGCUGGUGGCCUCACAGAAGAAGCCAGACUGGAUGGACGUCCGUGCUCUUCCUCCCUCACCUUCCUCCAGUCUUUGCCCAAAUGUCGCCUCCGCGGCCCAUCUGCCCUGACGAUUCUACGUGAACUGGCAGCCCCCCCAUCGCCCCG